rnacentral:rRNA from 1 species
AGAUUGAACGCUGGCGGCAUGCCUUACACAUGCAAGUCGAACGGUAGAGUAGCAAUACUCGAGAGUGGCGAACGGGUGAGUAAUAUAUCGGAACGUGCCCAGUCGUGGGGGAUAACGUAGAGAAAUUUACGCUAAUACCGCAUACGAUCUAAGGAUGAAAGCGGGGGAUUCGCAAGAACCUCGCGCGAUUGGAGCGGCUGAUAUCAGAUUAGGUUGUUGGUGAGGUAAAAGCUCACCAAGCCGACGAUACUGUAGCUGGUUUGAGAGAACGACAGCCACACUGGGACUGAGACACGGCCCAGACUCCUACGGGAGGCCAGCAGGUGGGAAUUUGGACAAGUGGGGAAACCCUGACUCCAGCCAUCCCGCGUGUGCGACUGGAACGGCCGUU